rnacentral:rRNA from 1 species
ACCACUUCGGUGGGGAUUAGUGGCGAACGGGUGAGUAACACGUGGGCAAUCUGCCCUGCACUCUGGGACAAGCCCUGGAAACGGGGUCUAAUACCGGAUACUGACCUUCACAGGCAUCUGUGAUGGUCGAAAGCUCCGGCGGUGCAGGAUGAGCCCGCGGCCUAUCAGCUUGUUGGUGAGGUAGUGGCUCACCAAGGCGACGACGGGUAGCCGGCCUGAGAGGGCGACCGGCCACACUGGGACUGAGACACGGCCCAGACUCCUACGGGAGGCAGCAGUGGGGAAUAUUGCACAAUGGGCGAAAGCCUGAUGCAGCGACGCCGCGUGAGGGAUGACGGCCUUCGGGUUGUAAACCUCUUUCAGCAGGGAAGAAGCGAAAGUGACGGUACCUGCAGAAGAAGCGCCGGCUAACUACGUGCCAGCAGCCGCGGUAAUACGUAGGGCGCGAGCGUUGUCCGGAAUUAUUGGGCGUAAAGAGCUCGUAGGCGGCUUGUCACGUCGGUUGUGAAAGCCCGGGGCUUAACCCCGGGUCUGCAGUCGAUACGGGCAGGCUAGAGUUCGGUAGGGGAGAUCGGAAUUCCUGGUGUAGCGGUGAAAUGCGCAGAUAUCAGGAGGAACACCGGUGGCGAAGGCGGAUCUCUGGGCCGAUACUGACGCUGAGGAGCGAAAGCGUGGGGAGCGAACAGGAUUAGAUACCCUGGUAGUCCACGCCGUAAACGGUGGGCACUAGGUGUGGGCAACAUUUCCACGUUGUCCGUGCCGCAGCUAACGCAU